rnacentral:rRNA from 1 species
CAGCAGCCGCGGUAAUACGUAGGUGGCAAGCGUUGUCCGGAAUUAUUGGGCGUAAAGGGCUCGCAGGCGGUUUCUUAAGUCUGAUGUGAAAGCCUCCGGCUCAACCGGGGAGGGUCAUUGGAAACUAGGAAACUUGAGUGCAGAAGAGGAGAGUGGAAUUCCACGUGUAGCGGUGAAAUGCGUAGAGAUGUGGAGGAACACCAGUGGCGAAGGCGACUCUCUGGUCUGUAACUGACGCUGAGGAGCGAAAGCGUGGGGAGCGAACAGGAUUAGAUACCCCUGUAGUCCCUGUCUCUUAUAC